GGUCGCAUAGCUCAGUGGAAGAGCACGAGCCUCCUAAGCCCGGGGUCGCAGGUUCAACUCCUGUUGCGAUCG
rnacentral:tRNA from 1 species